AAAGGAAUUGACGGGCACCCGCACAAGCGGUGGAGCAUGCUGUUUAAUUCGAAGAUACGCGAAGAACCUUACCUAGACUUGACAUCCCUGGCAAUGCUAUAGAAAUAUAGCGGAGGUUAUCCAGGUGACAGGUGGUGCAUGGUUGUCGUCAGCUCGUGUCGUGAGAUGUUCGGUUAAGUCCGAUAACGAGCGCAACCCCUAUUACUAGUUGCUAACAUUAAGUUGAGAACUCUAGUGAGACUGCCGGUGAUAAACCGGAGGAAGGCGGGGAUGACGUCAAAUCAUCAUGCCCCUUACGUCUAGGGCUACAGGCGUGCUACAAUGGCCAAUACAAAAGGUUGCAAUACCGCGAGGUGGAGCUAAUCCCUAAAGUUGGUCUAAGUCCGGAUUGGAGUCUGCAACUCGACUCCAUGAAGUUGGAAUCGCUAGUAAUCCUGAAUCAGAAUGUCAGGGUGAAUACGUUCCCGGGUGUUGUACACACCGCCCGU
rnacentral:rRNA from 1 species